rnacentral:lncRNA from 1 species
UUUAACAUCGUAUUUCCCUAAUUUGAGCCUGAUUUAGUCGCUGGAGUAUUUGGACGCCUCUUCUAUGGUGCCGAUAGUUAAUUAAACAGAUGUUGCAGAGGGAAUCAUUAAUUUUAGUGCUGCAGAUGGGAGCAGAAUGACUUUGUGAAGUUAAUGUUUCAGCAAAACAAUGGGCUUCUGUCAUCAGUUGGUAUAAACUGAGUAAAUUAAGAGAACAAGUAGAAUAGGGUAGGUCGCUCUGAAGAAAUAUCAAUUAUUCAUUUUCAGAAUUACACUUCUUUUGUGUCUUUGCAGUCCCAUAAGGGGAGAAAAGUGGAUUCUGCAAGGAGGCAUAGUGGUAGCUGGAGGAAAGCAGAUUGAAAGAGUCUAAAGCAUUAGGAAAAAAGCUCAAGACACUGAAAGGGAUGUGGAGAGAGAGAUGUGCCAAUAAAAGUGUUUGGACCUAAAGCUGAACAUCUACCUAUCUGACUGACGCAUCAAAUUUUGUGUCAUUGGGGAUUCUACACAUGUUGAUGGCUCACAAUCCUGCAUGUAUGUUAAAAUCUCCAGAUCAUCUUAAGCUACAGCAUUCAAAAAAUAGGUCAGUGACCUUUCCCCCUUCUGUGUGGUUAAGCUAUGCAUUUCAAAUUCAGUACGGGACUUUUGUUUCUAUUUCUAUUCUGUUUUAUCUUUCUUCCCUCCCCAUACUUGUUAAUAUUUUUUGAUUAUGUGAUGCAUUAAUCUGGUACUACAGGUAAAACUCUACACAGAGCUAUCCCUAGAGAAGUGCUACUACACCCACAUUCUGUUCACCAAACUCCCACUCAAGCCCAUGGGUAACCAAUCUCAUUAGUCUCUAAGUUCUCCAUCCUCUGUUUCUUGAUGCACAGUUGAACAGAAACUUGUAUUUUCUUCUUUCUUCUUUUUUUACACAAAAGGAGUGUCUAUAGAUAUAUUUUUUUUCUUUCAUUUUGCUUUUUUUUUUUUUCUUUUUAGGUCUGCACCCACAGCAUACGGAGGUUCCAGGCUAGGGGUCGAAUUGGAGCUAAAGCUGCAGGCCUACACCACAGCCACAGCAACGCCAGAUCUGAGGCACAUCUGCGACCUACACCACAGCUCAUGGCAACGCCAGAUCCCACUGUGAACAAACAUUCAUCCUCAUGAGUACUAGUUGGAUUUGUUUCUGCUGUGCCAUGACAGGAACUCUCUCAUUUUGCUUUCUUUAAAUGACAGUGUAUCCUGGAAAUCUUUUCAUAUUCAUCCGUGGAAAUAAUCCUCAUUAUUUUUUAGCUGUAUUUUAUAGCACUCUACUUAUGGAGGUACCACAGUUUAUCCAACCACCACUCUAGGCCUUUUUAUUUAUUUAUUUAUUUAUUUUAUUUUUUUUUGUCUUUUUGCU